AUUGAACGCUGGCGGCAGGCCUAACACAUGCAAGUCGAGCGAGCGGCGGACGGGUGAGGAAUGUCUGGGAAACUGCCUGAUGGAGGGGGAUAACUGCUGGAAACGGUAGCUAAUAACGCAUACCAUCAGAUGUGCCCAGUUGGGAUUAGCUAGUAGGUGGGGUAACGGCUCACCUAGGCGACGAUCCCUAGCGGGUCUGAGAGGAUGACCAGCCACCCUGGAACUGAGACACGGUCCAGACUCCUACGGGAGGCAGCAGUGGGGAAUAUUGCACAAUGGGCGCAAGCCUGAUGCAGCCAUGCCGCGUGUGUGAAGAAGGCCUUCGGGUUGUAAAGCACUUUCAGCUGGGAGGCGUUACCCGCAGAAGAAGCACCGGCUAACUCCGUGCCAGCAGCCGCGGUAAUUC
rnacentral:rRNA from 1 species